rnacentral:siRNA from 1 species
AGCGUACCGACAUGCGGUGGUGAA